rnacentral:rRNA from 1 species
UACAGAGGCCUCGAGCGUUAGGCGGAAUCACUGGGCUUAAAGCGUGUGUAGGCGGACUUCUAAGUACCUUGUGAAAUCCCACGGCUCACCCGUGGAACUGCUCGGUAUACUGGUCGUCUUGAGCCUUCUAGGGGGCGAGUGGAACAAAUGGUGGAGCGGUGAAAAUGCGUAGAUAUCAUUUUGGAACGCCAAUGGUGAAAAACAACUCGCUGGG